rnacentral:other from 2 species
AUCUCCCUGCACUGUUGGUGAUCUUCAGUGUGUGUUGAGCCAACUCCCAUAAAAAGGGCAGCUCCGCUGAUCAGCGAAGGAAAAUCGUUUGACGAAUUUCCUGAAGUGGUUAUGAGGUGCCCACCUAUUUCUAUAGGUUUAACUUUCCUGGUGACACGGCAGUGUGGGGAAGAU